rnacentral:lncRNA from 1 species
UUCGGCUUGACCAAGCAAGCUCCAAUGAGAAAUGUGGAACCUUCUCAACUUUAGAAGCAACAAUCCUAAAGACAUUUAAAUGUCGUCGUCUUUUAAAUAAGGUAGUUUAAUAUGGUAUUAGAGUGCACAAAAGAAUUGAAAGAGUUUAGUCUUGAAGCAUGAAUGCAACACAUGAAAUCUCGAGAGUCUUCCCUUUAUCUCAGCCAGAAAGAAUUGGAAUUUUACUGUUGAAGGCGAACGGGAGAGUACCAUAUCAAGUUCACACACGGUGUUAUACGUUAAAGAUAAAAUUUCACAAUUACAAAAAGGAGAAAAAAAAAUAAAAAUAAAAAUACAACAAUAUGUGAGGGUCUCGACUUCUCUUAAUAGAGUUGACAUUUUUGUAUCGAAUUUCGAGAUUUUAUUGUAUCAUAGGGAAUAACAAGAUUGACCUUUUUAAGAUGACUUCAGCAGUUAAAUGGCAUAUGACCCACUUGUCGGCUUCAGAUUCUGACACCACUACGAAGGUGGUGAGAAUUGAAACACCCACAUUGAAGUUGUGGCUGUCGACGAGUUUCCUUCCAGUUGUCGAUUCUCGUUAGCAAACCCUUCUUCGAAACCAUGACAUCAACAUUGUGAGGCGAGAGUAUAAACAUGUUACAAAGAAUGUUCUAGAUUAGAGACGUGUGACAUCUUUAGCCGAUCAAGUGUAGGCAUCGGUAUCGAAAUUUUAUGAAUAAAAUAUUUUAUAUCACUUGUA